AUUGAACGCUGGCGGCAGGCUUAACACAUGCAAGUCGAGCGAGCGGCGGACGGGUGAGUAAUGUCUGGGAAACUGCCUGAUGGAUGGGGAUAACUAAUGGAAACGGUAGCUAAUACCGCAUACCAUCAGAUGUGCCCAGAUGGGAUUAGCUAGUAGGUGGGGAAAUGGCUCACCUAGGAGACGAUCCCUAGCUGGUCUGAGAGGAUGACCAGCCACUAUGGAACUGAGACACGGUCCAGACUCAUACGUGAGGCAGCAGUGGGGAAUAUUGCACAAUGGGCGCAAGCCUGAUGCAGCCAUGCCGGGUGUGUGAAGAAGGCUUUGGGGUUGUAAAGCACUUUCAGCGAGGAGGCGUUACUCGCAGAAGAAGCACCGGCUAACUCCGUGCCAGCCCCGCGGUAAUAC
rnacentral:rRNA from 1 species